rnacentral:rRNA from 1 species
CCUACGGGGGGCAGCAGUGGGGAAUAUUGGACAAUGGGGGGAACCCUGAUCCAGCCAUGCCGCGUGUGUGAAGAAGGCCCUCGGGUUGUAAAGCACUUUCAGUGAGGAAGAACGCCUGGUGGUUAAUACCCAUCAGGAAAGACAUCACUCACAGAAGAAGCACCGGCUAACUCCGUGCCAGCAGCCGCGGUAAUACGGAGGGUGCGAGCGUUAAUCGGAAUUACUGGGCGUAAAGCGCGCGUAGGUGGCUUGAUAAGCCGGUUGUGAAAGCCCCGGGCUCAACCUGGGAACGGCAUCCGGAACUGUGAAGCUAGAGUGCAGGAGAGGAAGGUAGAAUUCCCGGUGUAGCGGUGAAAUGCGUAGAGAUCGGGAGGAAUACCAGUGGCGAAGGCGGCCUUCUGGACUGAAACUGACACUGAGGUGCGAAAGCGUGGGUAGCAAACAGGAUUAGAUACCCUAGUAGUC